UACGAGGGGGGCGAGCGUUGUUCGGAAUUAUUGGGCGUAAAGGGUGCGUAGGCGGUUUUGUAAGUCUUAUGUGAAAUCUAUGGGCUCAACUCAUAGACUGCAUGAGAAACUGCAGGGCUUGAGUAUGGGAGAGGUGAGUGGAAUUCCUGGUGUAGCGGUGAAAUGCGUAGAUAUCAGGAGGAACAGCCUGUGGCGAAAAGCGGCUCACUGGACCAUAACUGACGCUGGAUGCACGAAAGCUAGGGGAGCAAACAGG
rnacentral:rRNA from 1 species